rnacentral:rRNA from 1 species
CCUACGGGAGGCAGCAGUGAGGAAUAUUGGUCAAUGGGCGGGAGCCUGAACCAGCCAAGUCGCGUGAGGGAAGACGGUCCUAUGGAUUGUAAACCUCUUUAGGCGGGGAGCAAUGCCGGGCACGUGUGCCCGGAGGGAGAGUACCCGCAGAAUAAGCAUCGGCUAACUCCGUGCCAGCAGCCGCGGUAAUACGGAGGAUGCGGGCGUUCUCCGGAUUUAUUGGGUUUAAAGGGUGCGUAGGCGGCUUUUUAAGUCAGCGGUAAAAUGUCCGGGCUCAACCCGGGCCUGCCGUUGAAACUGGGGAUCUUGAGUGGGCGAGAAGUAUGCGGAAUGCGUGGUGUAGCGGUGAAAUGCAUAGAUAUAACGAAGAACUCCGAUUGCGAAGGCAGCAUACCGGUGCCUGACUGACGCUGAGGCACGAAAGCGUGGGGAGCGAACAGGAUUAGAUACCCGGGUAGUC